AAGAGCAACAGGGAUUCCCCUAGUAACGGCGAGUGAAGCGGGAACAGCUCAAAUUUGAAAUCUGGCCCUCGGGUCCGAGUUGUAAUUUGUAGAGGAUGCUUUUGGUGCGGUGCCUUCCGAGUUCCCUGGAACGGGACGCCUUAGAGGGUGAGAGCCCCGUACGGUUGGACGCCUAGCCUCUGUAAAGCUCCUUCGACGAGUCGAGUAGUUUGGGAAUGCUGCUCUAAAUGGGAGGUAUAUUUCUUCUAAAGCUAAAUACUGGCCAGAGACCGAUAGCGCACAAGUAGAGUGAUCGAAAGAUGAAAAGCACUUUGAAAAGAGGGUUAAAUAGCACGUGAAAUUGUUGAAAGGGAAGCGUUUAUCACCAGACUUUUUCUAGGGGGAUCAUCCGGUGUUCUCACCGGUGCACUUCCCCUAGUUGAGGCCAGCAUCGGUUUUCGGAGGGGGAUAAAAGCUUCGGGAAUGUGACUCCCUCGGGAGUGUUAUAGCCCGUUGCAUAAUACCCUUCUGGGGACCGAGGUUCGCGCAUCUGCAAGGAUGCUGGCAUAAUGGUGAUCAACGACCCGUCUUGAAACACGGACCAAGGAGUCGAACAUUUAUGCGAGUGUUUGGGUGUCAAACCCUCACGCGUAAUGAAAGUGAACGGAGGUGAGAGCCCUUACGGGUGCAUCAUCGACCGAUCCUGAUGUCUUCGGAUGGAUUUGAGUAAGAGCAUAACUGUUCGGACCCGAAAGAUGGUGAACUAUGCGUGGAUAGGGUGAAGCCAGGAGAAAUCCUGGUGGAGGCUCGCAGCGGUUCUGACGUGCAAAUCGAUCGUCAAAUCUGCGCAUGGGGGCGAAAGACUAAUCGAACCAUCUAGUAGCUGGUUACCGCCGA
rnacentral:rRNA from 1 species